UACGAAGGGUGCGAGCGUUGUUCGGAAUUACUGGGCGUAAAGCGUGCGCAGGCGGUUUUGUAAGCCAGGUGUGAAAUCCCCGGGCUCAACCUGGGAAUGGCAUUUGGGACUGCAAGGCUGGAGUGUGGCAGAGGAGACUGGAAUUCCUGGUGUAGCAGUGAAAUGCGUAGAUAUCAGGAGGAAUACCGAUGGCGAAGGCAGGUCUCUGGGCUGACACUGACGCUCAUGCACGAAAGCGUGGGGAGCAAACAGG
rnacentral:rRNA from 1 species